CGACCCACCCACCCACGCCAUUUAGCCAUCCUCAAUAUUUAACUAUUAUUAAAGUAACCCUCUUAGUCCAGGUUGUAUCGAGAUCAGCAGGUUAACUUUUAAAACUGUUUCUCAUCCUCGUUCCCAGGGCUUCUCGCGACGUCAUUCGUUCCAGGCCCUAACAACUUAAUGUCGCUCCGUCAGUUGCGACUGGCGAGUGGCGACUACUCUGUCUGAUGAAAUAUCACUAGUAUUUUUUGCAAUUUCUGUUUUACUUUGAACAGAAAUAAAUAAAGCUGACAGCUAGGGGAUGUUCAUUGUGCAAUGUAAUUUGCCUGCUCGUAUCAUUGAGUGGAAGAAACGCUCCAAAUGGCGUAUUUUUUAGACACUUCGGGUAGUGGCAAUUUUGGUUUUCCCCCCAAGUCGGAUGUAAACAAUAGCCGAUGCAGCUUGCCGCCAGAGGUGAAAUUUGCUUUUUAUCUCAAUUUAUGAUGAGGAAUACACGUUUAUCAUUUUUAAUUCUGUUUUUCUAUACUCCUGUCACAGGUUGAAGAAGGCAACGUCGAAUACAAA